rnacentral:sRNA from 1 species
GAAUAUUAGUUCACUAAGGGGUUUUAAUCAAAUGUAAAUAAAAAUUCUAAAACUAUGCAAACCAUUUUCAUACAUGAAGUCAUGUAACUUGCUUAUUGUUUAUGGUAGAAACCACUUUGGGAUUUGUCAUUUGUGCUUGCUUUAUCCAUUGUGCCUGAUUGUUUUUAACACAUCUUUACCUUGUGUUUUCCUACAUAUUGAUAACUUUCUUUUUUGAAUAUAUAAAUAUUAGAAAUUAACUCAAUGUUUAAUACAUGUAUCAAUGAAAACGCUCCAUUUCACUAGCUGAAAAUAGCCACUUGAAAUUGUAUAUGAUACAGGAGUUUAUGAGUGUUGUUGUUUUAUACAGAUGUGUGUAACAGGCCUGUGAUAUGUACAUACAUAAACCUUCUUGUAUAUGUAUACUGUAUUGUUGGAUGUCAAUACACAGCAAUGUAGGGGAAAUAAAUAGAUAUUUG